rnacentral:rRNA from 1 species
AUGGAGGAGAGCGGCGCGAGCGCGGCGGCCGUAGUCCCUCGGCUGUUGGCGGCGAAGGAGGAGUCCGGGAAAAGCUUCUCGGACAUCGCGGCCGAGACGGGGCUCACCAACGUUUACGUCGCGCAGCUGCUGCGCCGCCAGGCGCAGCUGAAGCCCGACAUGGCGCCCGCGUUCCGGGCGGCCGUCCCGGCGCUCACCGACGAGCUCGUGGAGCUCAUGAUGCGGCCGCCUUUCCGGUCCUACCACCCGGACAUCGUCCACGAGCCAACCAUAUACAGAUUGAAUGAAGCUGUUAUGCAUUUUGGAGAGAGCAUCAAGGAGAUCAUCAAUGAGGAUUUUGGUGAUGGAAUCAUGUCGGCUAUAGACUUCUACUGUUCAGUUGACAAGAUUCAAGGGGCUGAUGGAAAAGAUCGUGUGGUGGUCACAUUUGAUGGGAAGUAUCUGCCUUACACCGAGCAGAGAUCUGAACAUAUGAUGUCAAGAUUGAACCGGAAUGCAUCUUGA